CCCCAUGCACAUGCCCCAGGCAGGCUCAGCCCAGGGCCAUUAUUAACAGUUGGCUGACUGCCUCCCUCGUGGCUGAGGGGAUGGAGGUGCUGAGCUCAACCAUCCCAUCCUAGCACCCUGCCAGCACCCCCAGAGUGUUUUUUUCCCUCAGGUUUUGUAGCUGAGGAAUCUGCCUGAAAUCUCUCUGCCCGCCAUCAGCACAGCCCCAGGCUGCAGGUGGUGCGUGGCACCUGUGCCUACCCAUAGGGCUGUGCUGCACAGGUGGCUCUUGUUGGCUGAUGUAAAGGCUCACAUGGGCUGGGGGCCCCCACCUGGCGUGGAUUUCUGAUUUGGGAGAACAAAGCUGGCUGAGGAAAGGCUGCACUCAGGUAAGAGGGUGAAGGGUGGUGGUUUUGUGCUGUUCUCUUCUGUCCUUCUUGCAGCCAGGGUAGGAACAAAGGCAGAGGUUUGAGCAUGUUCCUUUCUUCAGUGUUUUCUGGAGCUCAAUGGCAAAAUCAGAAGAGGAAUUCUAGUGUAAUGGAGCAGCCUCGGUAGGUGCCCCAAGCAGGGUGUUCAAAAAACUGCUAAUGUUGUGAUGAACAAUAUGUAAGGACUCAUUGGCAAUGUCUUUUGAUAAUUUGUGCAAAGAGAGCAAGAACAGGGUUGCAAAAAUACAUUGGUCACCACUUCAUGGUAUGGAAGAAACUUAAUUACUUAAGUCUCUUAAUUACUAUGGAAGAGAACUAAUUACUUAACAUAUCUCAUUGCUCUUUUGUUUUUCAGACAAUGGGUUGCUUCUUUGAAGCUCUGAGCACAUCCUUCUCUUAGUGGAGCCCUAGGAAAUGGGCAGUCAGUGUGGAGCUUGGCUGCUGACACAGAUGACAGGACAAAGGAGCAUACAUGGAAAUAAAAUGAAAAUUCAGAACAGAUGUCAGGACACAUUUUUCAUGCUGAAUGUGCAGAGUGGCCAACCAGGUCUAGCACCUGAACGACGUAUCACGAACCUGCAACUAUCAGUGACACUUAGCACUUGCAAUUGCAGGGAAAUACAUUGUAUUUGUUUAAGGAUCCCUGAGUGGGCCAACUGCAGGUAUGUCCUUGAAUUUUGUAUGUGGAAGGUAAGUAGGAUCAGUGAAAGACUGAUCUGGAAGUGGCUGAGACCGUGGUGAUCACAUGGGCACUGUGCUUUGUGGGCUUUCAAUCUGUACAUCAUCACAUUAUGACAAUGAAUAUCUAUCACAUUUUAAUAAUUUGUCACUUCCUAUCUACAGGGGAAUACUUCCAAAUUAAGCAAUGGACUUAUUUUGAAACUAGGCAUGUAUUAGCUGUCUUUGAAAGAACUGUGCUAAUGGACAGUACCAAUCUCUUGGAAAGGAGCAGAAAUGCAGAGAUAAUCUAGGUUAUUACAUCUUGAUGUUAUUUUAGGACUAUACCACUAUCUAUUUUCAGCAUAUAUAUAUAUUAAUAAAUAAAUAAAUAAAUAAAAACUGUGAUGCUCU
rnacentral:lncRNA from 1 species